rnacentral:rRNA from 1 species
AGUGAACGCUGGCGGCAGGCCUAACACAUGCAAGUCGAACGGCAGCACAGUAAGAGCUUGCUCUUACGGGUGGCGAGUGGCGGACGAGUGAGGAAUACAUCGGAAUCUACUUUUUCGUGGGGGAUAACGUAGGGAAACUUACGCUAAUACCGCAUACGACCUACGGGUGAAAGCAGGGGAUCUUCGGACCUUGCGCGAUUGAAUGAGCCGAUGUCGGAUUAGCUAGUUGGCGGGGUAAAGGCCCACCGAGGCGACGAUCCGUAGCUGGUCUGAGAGGAUGAUCAGCCACACUGGAACUGAGACACGGUCCAGACUCCUACGGGAGGCAGCAGUGGGGAAUAUUGGACAAUGGGCGCAAGCCUGAUCCAGCCAUACCGCGUGGGUGAAGAAGGCCUUCGGGUUGUAAAGCCCUUUUGUUGGGAAAGAAAAGCAGCAGGUUAAUACCCCGCUGUUCUGACGGUACCCAAAGAAUAAGCACCGGCUAACUUCGUG